CAGCAGCCGCGGUAAUACGAAGGGUGCAAGCGUUAAUCGGAAUUACUGGGCGUAAAGCGUGCGUAGGCGGUUUGUUAAGUCUGCUGUGAAAUCCCCGGGCUCAACCUGGGAAUGGCAGUAGAUACUGGCAAGCUAGGGUGUGUCAGAGGAUGGUGGAAUUCCCGGUGUAGCGGUGAAAUGCGUAGAGAUCGGGAGGAACAUCAGUGGCGAAGGCGGCCAUCUGGGACAACACUGACGCUGAGGCACGAAAGCGUGGGGAGCAAACAGGAUUAGAUACCCGGGUAGUCCCUGUCUCUUAUAC
rnacentral:rRNA from 1 species